GCGAACGGGUGAGUAACACGUGAGUAACCUGCCCCUGACUCUGGGAUAAGCGUUGGAAACGACGUCUAAUACUGGAUAUGAUCACUGGCCGCAUGGUCUGGUGGUGGAAAGAUUUUUUGGUUGGGGAUGGACUCGCGGCCUAUCAGCUUGUUGGUGAGGUAAUGGCUCACCAAGGCGACGACGGGUAGCCGGCCUGAGAGGGUGACCGGCCACACUGGGACUGAGACACGGCCCACACUCCUACGGGAGGCAGCAGUGGGGAAUAUUGCACAAUGGGCGAAAGCCUGAUGCAGCAACGCCGCGUGAGGGAUGACGGCCUUCGGGUUGUAAACCUCUUUUAGUAGGGAAGAAGCGAAAGUGACGGUACCUGCAGAAAAAGCACCGGCUAACUACGUGCCAGCAGCCGCGGUAAUACGUAUGGUGCAAGCGUUGUCCGGAAUUAUUGGGCGUAAAGAGCUCGAAGGCGGUUUGUCUCGACUGCUGUGAAAACGCGGGGCUCGAC
rnacentral:rRNA from 1 species